AGCUUGCUCUUAUGAAGUUAGCGGCGGACGGGUGAGUAACACGUGGGUAACCUACCCAUAAGACUGGGAUAACUCCGGGAAACCGGGGCUAAUACCGGAUAAUAUUUUGAACUGCAUAGUUCGAAAUUGAAAGGCGGCUUCGGCUGUCACUUAUGGAUGGACCCGCGUCGCAUUAGCUAGUUGGUGAGGUAACGGCUCACCAAGGCAACGAUGCGUAGCCGACCUGAGAGGGUGAUCGGCCACACUGGGACUGAGACACGGCCCAGACUCCUACGGGAGGCAGCAGUAGGGAAUCUUCCGCAAUGGACGAAAGUCUGACGGAGCAACGCCGCGUGAGUGAUGAAGGCUUUCGGGUCGUAAAACUCUGUUGUUAGGGAAGAACAAGUGCUAGUUGAAUAAGCUGGCACCUUGACGGUACCUAACCAGAAAGCCACGGCUAACUACGUGCCAGCAGCCGCGGUAAUACGUAGGUGGCAAGCGUUAUCCGGAAUUAUUGGGCGUAAAGCGCGCGCAGGUGGUUUCUUAAGUCUGAUGUGAAAGCCCACGGCUCAACCGUGGAGGGUCAUUGGAAACUGGGAGACUUGAGUGCAGAAGAGGAAAGUGGAAUUCCAUGUGUAGCGGUGAAAUGCGUAGAGAUAUGGAGGAACACCAGUGGCGAAGGCGA
rnacentral:rRNA from 1 species